GACGAACGCUGGCGGCGUGCUUAACACAUGCAAGUCGAGCGGUAAGGCCCUUUCGGGGGUACACGAGCGGCGAACGGGUGAGUAACACGUGGGUGACCUGCCCUCAGCUCUGGGAUAAGCCUGGGAAACUGGGUCUAAUACCGGAUAUGACUCCAUGACGCAUGUUGUGGGGUGGAAAGCCUUGUGCGGCUGAGGAUGGGCCCGNGGCCUAUCAGCUUGUUGGUGGGGUGANGGCCUACCAAGGCGACGACGGGUAGCCGGCCUGAGAGGGCGACCGGCCACACUGGGACUGAGACACGGCCCAGACUCCUACGGGAGGCAGCAGUGGGGAAUCUUGCGCAAUGGGCGAAAGCCUGACGC
rnacentral:rRNA from 1 species